GCCCAUAGCUCAGCUGGUAGAGCGCUUGGCUGGCAGCCAAGAGGUCAGGGGUUCGAGUCCCCUUGGGUCCACCA
rnacentral:tRNA from 1 species